UUAAGGCUUAGGCUUUGGCUUGGGCUUAGGCUUACGCUUAGGCUUAGGCUUAGGUUUAGGCUUAGGCACAUGCUUAGGUUUAGGCUUAGGCUUAGGCUUUGGCUUGGGUUUAGGCUUAGGCUUAGGCUUAGGCUGAAUCUUAAG
ensembl:ncRNA ZK1025.14 ncRNA